GGCACGGUGGCUGAGUGGUAAGGCGCUUGGCUUUUGAAUCGAAGGAUCCCGGGUUCGAACCCUGGUCAUGACU
rnacentral:tRNA from 1 species